CUUCCAUUCCUGGCGCUCGACUCGAUUCACCGGCCCGCCGCGUCGUAAAUAAAGGACGGCGAAAGGCGGUUGCGUUCCAUGGCACACGACGCCUUGCCGUUCUUGGCUCUGGCUCACAUCACAUCCGAUGCGCGUCUUCGCCAGGGCAAACGGCAAACGCUCUUCCAUUCUCGGUUUCUCGAUGGAGACGCGAGCGAGCCGCGUCUUCCGCGAGUGCGCGCUCGUUUGUCGUUUCAUCUCCAUCCAUCUCUCUUUCGGUUCGGCCUGCUUUUUCUGCACCUCCGUCCGUCACCGUCUCGGGUUAAAGCCGUGUGUACGUGACAAGGCCUCUCCUUCCAUUGUUACCAUAAGUAAGCUCUCUAGAUCGCGGUUUUGGGUGUAGCCACC
rnacentral:lncRNA from 1 species